AGGGUUCUUUAACCACUUCUCUUGACUUCUCCUCCCUGGUGACCUUGGUUAACCUCCGGCGCAGAAAGAUGACUUUCGAUGAACUCAUGAAUGAUGAAUUGUAUUAUAACCCCUACUGUUACCAGGGCUGGCGCGGCUAUAGAGGCCAUUAUGGCUGCUAUAGGCCCUGGGGUUCCUGGAAGCCAUACAGGUAUGGGUGGGGCCAUCAGUAUGGUGGCCACUACCCUUACCGAUGGGGCCAUGGGUACGGCUAUGGAAAGUUCUGGCCAUGUUUAGCCGAGGAGCAAUAGACCCGCAACAAGGAACAACCAGGAAACGUCAAGCGAGAUAUGGAAUCACAGCUGGGCUUAUGGGCAAUGACGUUCAGAAAUGCUGAUUGCGCACAACUCCCAUGGGAGCUCUGAGUCCUCAGCACCUCCGGAAAUCUGCCCAGGAUCUUUAUUUCCCCACUUACACUUUAUGACUUUUUCCUCUAUUGUCUUCCAGAACAUCUGGUGUGAAAGGCGUCACCUUGUAACGGGUGAUUUCUUGUUGACUUUCAUGAAACCCUGGAAAUAGGUUCUUUUUACGCUGCCUACUGUCUGUCUCUUCCUGUGUACUUCUCCUCUUUUUCACAUUAAACUGAUUCUGCCUCAUAA